rnacentral:rRNA from 1 species
UACAGGGGGGGCUAGCGUUGCUCGGAAUCACUGGGCGUAAAGCGCACGUAGGCGGACUCUUAAGUCGGUGGUGAAAUCCUGGAGCUCAACUCCAGAACUGCCUUCGAUACUGAGAGUCUCGAGUCCGGGAGAGGUGAGUGGAACUGCGAGUGUAGAGGUGAAAUUCGUAGAUAUUCGCAAGAACACCAGUGGCGAAGGCGGCUCACUGGCCCGGUACUGACGCUGAGGUGCGAAAGCGUGGGGAGCAAACAGG